UACGUAGGUGACAAGCGUUGUCCGGAUUUACUGGGCGUAAAGAGCGCGCAGGCGGUCGAUCAAGUCGAGUGUGAAAUCCCUCAGCUUAACUGGGGAACUGCGUGUGAUACUGGAUGGCUUGAAUCCGGGAGAGGGAUGCAGAAUUCCAGGUGUAGCGGUGAAAUGCGUAGAUAUCUGGAGGAACACCGGUGGCGAAGGCGGCAUCCUGGACCGGUAUUGACGCUGAGGCGCGAAAGCCAGGGGAGCAAACGGG
rnacentral:rRNA from 1 species